rnacentral:rRNA from 1 species
UUGACCUCAAAUCAGGUAGGAGUACCCGCUGAACUUAAGCAUAUCAAUAAGCGGAGAAAA